AGAACGAACGCUGGCGGCAGGCCUCAAACAUGCAAGUCUAGGGGGUGUAGCAAUACAUCACCGGCGGACGGGUGCGUAACGCGUGGGAACAUACCUUUCGGUACGGAACAACUGCGGGAAACUGCAGCUAAUACCGUAUACGCCCUUACGGGGAAAGAUUUAUCGCCGAAGGAUUGGCCCGCGUUCGAUUAGCUAGUUGGUGAGGUAACGGCUCACCAAGGCUACGAUCGAUAGCUGUUCUGAGAGGAAGAUCAGCCACACUGGGACUGAGACACGGCCCAGACUCCUACGGGAGGCAGCAGUUGGGAAUCUUGGACAAUGGGGGAAACCCUGAUCCAGCCAUGCCGCGUGAGUGAUGAAGGCCUUCGGGUUGUAAAACUCUUUCGACGGGGACGAUAAUGACGGUACCCGUAGAAGAAGCUCCGGCUAACUUCGUGCCAGCAGCCGC
rnacentral:rRNA from 1 species